rnacentral:rRNA from 1 species
GGGGGGAGCAAGCGUUGUUCGGAUUUACUGGGCGUAAAGGGCGCGUAGGCGGCCACCGCAAGUCGGUUGUGAAAUCUCCGGGCUUAACCCGGAAAGGUCAACCGAUACUGCGGGGCUAGAGUGCAGAAGGGGCAACCGGAAUUCUCGGUGUAGCGGUGAAAUGCGUAGAUAUCGAGAGGAACACCUGCGGCGAAGGCGGGUUGCUGGGCUGACACUGACGCUGAGGCGCGAAAGCUAGGGGAGCGAACGGGAUUAGAUACCCCGGUAGUCCUAGCCUUAAACGAUGAAUGCUUGGUGUCUGGGGUUACAUAGUCCCCGGGUGCCGUCGCUAACGCUUUAAGCAUUCCGCCUGGGGAGUACGGUCGCAAGACUG